CCUACGGGUGGCAGCAGUGGGGAAUAUUGCACAAUGGGGGGAACCCUGAUGCAGCGACGCCGCGUGAGUGAAGAAGUAUUUCGGUAUGUAAAGCUCUAUCAGCAGGGAAGAAAAUGACGGUACCUGACUCAGAAGCCCCGGCUAACUACGUGCCAGCAGCCGCGGUAAUACGUAGGGAGCAAGCGUUAUCCGGAUUUACUGGGUGUAAAGGGAGCGCAGAUGGGUGUGCAAGUCUGGAGUGAAAGGCGGGGGACCAACCCCCGGACUGCUAUGGAAACUGUAAAGCUGGAGUGCAGGAGAGGUAAGCGGAAUUCCUAGUGUAGCGGUGAAAUGCGUAGAUAUUAGGAGGAACACCAGUGGCGAAGGCGGCUUACUGGACUGCAACUGACGUUGAGGCUCGAAAGCGUGGGGAGCAAACAGGAUUAGAUACCCGAGUAGUC
rnacentral:rRNA from 1 species